AGUGGCAGACGGGUGAGUAACGCGUGGGAACCUACCCAGUUCUACGGAACAACUGAGGGAAACUUCAGCUAAUACCGUAUACGCCCUACGGGGGAAAGAUUUAUCGGAAUUGGAUGGGCCCGCGUUGGAUUAGCUAGUUGGUGGGGUAAUGGCCUACCAAGGCGACGAUCCAUAGCUGGUCUGAGAGGAUGAUCAGCCACACUGGGACUGAGACACGGCCCAGACUCCUACGGGAGGCAGCAGUGGGGAAUAUUGGACAAUGGGCGCAAGCCUGAUCCAGCCAUGCCGCGUGAGUGAUGAAGGCCUUAGGGUUGUAAAGCUCUUUCAGUGGGGACGAUAAUGACGGUACCCACAGAAGAAGCCCCGGCUAACUUCGUGCCAGCAGCCGCGGUAAUACGAAGGGGGCUAGCGUUGUUCGGAUUUACUGGGCGUAAAGCGCACGUAGGCGGAUUGUUAAGUGAGGGGUGAAAUCCCAGGGCUCAACCCUGGAACUGCCUUUCAUACUGGCAAUCUAGAGUCCGGAAGAGGUGAGUGGAAUUCCUAGUGUAGAGGUGGAAUUCGUAGAUAUUAGGAAGAACACCAGUGGCGAAGGCGGCUCACUGGUCCGGUACUGACGCUGAGGUGCGAAAGCGUGAGGAGCAAACAGGAUUAGAUACCCUGGUAGUCCACGCUGUAAACGAUGAGAGCUAGUUGUCGGCA
rnacentral:rRNA from 1 species